rnacentral:lncRNA from 7 species
UGCUAUUUCAGUGUGCACUACUCGGCCAGUAUAACCAGAGCACUCCAAAAGCGCAAUGGGAGAACUACUAGAAUAUACAGAAUUUUUAGCUUGACCAUCUUUAUUGGCAGGCGAGCAUUCCUGAGCACUGGGAUGACUGUCAUCAGCAUGGCUAGACUGAUAAGGAUGUAUUAGCAUUCAUCUGUUGAAAAGCUUUUGUAUGACUGGCCAGAUGGAUUGUUAUUGCACUGAUACUUGACACCUGAUCAAAAGGAUCUGGGAUAGCAGAGAUGCAGGGUCUGUCUGCUGAAUGUUUCUCUUCUGUAUGCUUUCAAAUCAUUGGUGACGUGUGGACGACCUGAACAGUGAUCCUAGAUGACACAGUGAAUCUCAGUCCAUGCUUUGUGCCCACUGGAUGCACUGGAAGAUGUCUGUGCUCAUGAGGAUGGUUGGCAACCAACAGCACCAGACUGCAGCAGGUAGAAGACCCCAUCCCUUGGCAAAUGGAAUUUGUGCGAGGGGAGGCUCUGCCCACAGCUUAGGAUGCGGAGAGAUCAGCUGCUUAGAAAUGUGGGUUGAAUCCCAGGACUGCUUUUGUAUGCUACCUGAAGUUUAGUAACUGCUGGUUUGGGGUUUUGUUUUUUUUUUUGUUUGCUUGUUUGUUUGCUUGUUGGUUUUGUCAACAGUCUAGAGUUUUGCUGUGCAGAUUUUCUACAUUCUAUUUUCUACUACUAUGAAAAUGUUCUUAUUUGCAAGGGUAUUUCCAAUGGGAGAUGCUUCGUCUCCAGGGUAACUUCUCUGAGAGUGGUUUUAAAAGUUGGUUUAUGGAGAGUACUGCAUCAUGUUUUGCAGUUUUUGCAGUUUUCAAACGCUGCUUCAGACAGUAAUAAAAAGAUGUUAUUCUUCUGAU